CCAUCCCUGCUUCCCUGGUAUGAAACCCAUUUGAUUGUGGUGGAUUAUCUUUUUGAUUUGAUUUUGAAUGUUUCCAUCAUAAAGAAAUGGUAAACGUUUGAUGUGAUGAGUGUGCUAAAUACCCUGAUUUGCUUGUUACACAUUGUAUUCAUGUAUCAAAAUAUCACACUGUACUAUAUUAAUAUGUACAAUUAUGUCAACUAAAAUAAAAAUAAUAGCCAUGACUUUAAAUAACUUAAGAAAUAAUAUGAUGGACCAGGGGAUGAGGAAAUAACAUGACCCAGCCCUGACCAAUCAGGGUUUCCCACACUGUACCAUAUCUCCCUAACAACAGGUAUUAGUCCAAAGGUCAUCUUCUCUGGUUCUUUAUUUAUGAACAUUGUGAGAAAGAUGUCUAUUUUUCUGCUGAAGCUGUUAAGAUAGGAUAAUAGAGAAGCUGGAGCUGAUAAGCUGAUAUUGACUAUCUUCUUUAGAAAUACAGAGCUCUGAUGACAAAUUUGAGUCUCUGAAUUAAUCAUGUCUCUAGCCAACCUCACCCCUCCCCGGCCUUUCCAGAUAAAUUUACAUGUUGAAUCUUUUCUUUAAAACUGUUAACUUGUGGCGGUCUGCGCUGCGGUGUGAAGGGCUCGAAGAUGGCCGGUUGGCAGAGCUACAUGGAUAAUCUGAUGUGCGAUGGCUGCUGUCAGGAGGCCGCCAUUGUCGGCUACUGCCAUGCCAAAACCUCCGGGCAGCCAUGGCCGGGGGCAUCUUUCAGAGCAUUAUGCCAAUAGAAAUAGAUAUGAUUGUAGGAAAAGACUGGGAAGGUUUCUUUACCAACGGUUUGACUCUUGGCGCGAAGAAAUGCUCAGUGAUCAGAGAUAGUCUAUACGUCGAUGGUGACUGCAUAAUGGACAUCCGGACAAAGAGUCAAGGUGGGGAGCCAACAUACAAUGUUGCUGUCAGCAGAGCUGGAAGAGCACUGGUUAUAGUCAUGGGAAAGGAAGGUGUCCACGGAGGCACACUUAACAAGAAAGCAUAUGAAUUUGCUUUAUACCUGAGGAGGUCUGAUGUGUAAGCAGCCUCUCCCCAUCUACCUAGCAACUGUCUUCAUCAACAACCCUAAUUGUGGUCACAGUGCUACCAAACUAUAGAUGGUAGCUAAUUUUUCUUUACCUAUUUUCUAAUGUCAUGAUUCCUGUUUGCCCAAUGGAUCAUUUAUAUGUUAACCACUAUAUGUAACCAACCCUUAUCUGGCAACAUAAUUGCAGCACAAUAAUGAUUUGCAUGAUACCUUGAAACUGGGGGGAGGGGGCAUGCCAAGUUGGGCAUCACUUUGUCUUAGCAAUUAAUGGAACAUUGAUUACUAAAAUAUGUUAAUAUUAAGCAAGGUGCCGGUUGUACAAUCUCUGAUUAAUGUAUUUUCAGCACUUUGAGCAUUUACUUGGCUCAUUUAGUCUUCCUUUUGUAGCGCAUGGUUGGGAGGAAAAAGUGCAUGCAUCUUUCCUUCACUCUUCUCUUUUUCCCGCCCCCCUCUCCCUUCGCACAUAGGCAUUUAGUUUGCUUCCAUCUUUUUUUAUGCAGUGCCUGUUUUUUUUAAACCAGUUAAUAUCCCUUUUGUUGAUGAGCUAUUGAGAGCUGCAGUAGUUUGCUUUUAGUAUUGUUGUUGUGCUUGAGUAGAGACAAACCUUUAUUCAUAGUGUCUAUAGGACAUAUGAAGAGUGCAAUGGCAAAACAAGAGCAAAAAGCACUUCCUCCCGUGACCUUACAGUAACCAUACUGAUUGAAUCCCCGGGGACAUUCCAUCAUUGCAAUAGCUCAGAUUUUUGUUCCUGUCUUUUUCUUGGCACACC